AAUUCCCCAACCCUAGCUUGCGUACAAGCCGCCUCCUGGACCAAUCCUCUGGUCCAUCUUCCUCCGGCUUGCCGACGGUGGCGGCGAUCCAGAUCCGGUGCCUAGCUGGGCGAGUAUGCCUAGCGGAGGUGCCGUUCCAGCUUCUGUUCGUCUCAUCGCCGGCGGUCUGGCUGCCCCGGCGGACCUCGCUCUGUCCUAAGAGAACAAGAACUGGAUGGUACUCUUCUCUGGCGACCAGAGGUCGACCUCGCCCCAUUCUUUUUUCUACCUCAACCCGCCAUUCUCCACAUGUCGCCACCCACCCCGCCGACGUCGGAGAAGAAAACUCCAAUCUGAAGGUGGAUUGAACCGAUGAAGGGUAUAUAGAGUCCAUGGAGGUUGCCAUAUAUUCCAACAGAUGAAAGCUCGAUUAUCAAGAAUCACUAAAAUAGGAGGCAAAAUGAUAGAUCUUUUUUGGCAUGUACCAUCAGGUCCUUAAUACUUGGUCUUCAUGCAAAUGUACUAAAAAUGAUAUAUGUAUGCCUCUUGCGUUGUGUUCUUAUGUACUCAAAUACUCGAAUGCUUGUUGAGUAGUGAUAACUUCAGUCCUUUAUUUUCUCAUGCACUCAGAUGCUUCUAGUUACAUGUAAAUGUACAAAGUUUAGCUUGAUCUGGGAUGGCUUAAUUUCC